CGUGGACAGGUCUCAUUGUCAACAAUAGCGAAGCAGGCCUUGUGACGUAGAACAGUAAACUGGGAAUAGAACGUUCGGAUGCUAGCUAGCGAUUUGAAUUUCAACCGGACGUUGUGGCGGGUGAGGGCUGAUUUGGAAGUCCCUACUUCUAAAGGCAAGUGAAACAACGUUUUUCAGUUCCGUUCUCUGAAAUAAAUAAUAUGUUGUCUAUGACCCCUGUUCUUUCACAGGACACUGAUGACACUUGUGGAGAGUUCUUUCCUUGAGCUAUAUAUAUAUAUAUAUAUAUAUAUAUAGCAUAAUAGCAUCAUAUCUCAGAUUGAUUUCCGUUGAAAGCCUGGGGAAACGCGUGGGCUUCUUCUGGAUACUCUGGAGAAGAGAUGUUCUGAACAUUCUACAACCCCAAAAGAUGUAAUACCGCCACCAACUGGACGACGUUGAAAAAAACAAGCAAAUGGCACAAUCAAUAUCAACUGUCCCAGGAUGCACCACCACUAGCAGAGGGCCAGGGAAACCACCAAGCUGCCUGCAAGGCUGAAUAAUAUUUACGAGCUCCUCCUUUCUCUCCAAAGCAUGAGAGCACAAGAGGAAGGUGGAUGAAGAAAACCAGAGAGAGAGGGAGUAGAAACACCACGCAAAAUGAAACAGGAUGAACGCGAAAAAAGAAAUGGAAAGAGAAUAACGGCG
rnacentral:lncRNA from 1 species